AUUGAACGCUGGCGGCAGGCCUAACACAUGCAAGUCGAGCGGAUGAAGGGAGCUUGCUCCUGGAUUCAGCGGCGGACGGGUGAGUAAUGCCUAGGAAUCUGCCUGGGAGUGGGGGAUAACGUCCGGAAACGGGCGCUAAUACCGCAUACGUCCUGAGGGAGAAAGUGGGGGAUCUUCGGACCUCACGCUAUCAGAUGAGCCUAGGUCGGAUUAGCUAGUUGGUGGGGUAAAGGCCUACCAAGGCGACGAUCCGUAACUGGUCUGAGAGCAUGAUCAGUCACACUGGAACUGAGACACGGUCCAGACUCCUACGGGAGGCAGCAGUGGGGAAUAUUGGACAAUGGGCGAAAGCCUGAUCCAGCCAUGCCGCGUGUGUGAAGAAGGUCUUCGGAUUGUAAAGCGCUUUAAGUUGGGAGGAAGGGCAGUAAGUUCAUACCUUGCUGUUUUGACGUUACCAACAGAAUAAGCACCGGCUAACUUCGUG
rnacentral:rRNA from 1 species